UAGGGAAUAUUGGUCAAUGGGCGCGAGCCUGAACCAGCCAUGCCGCGUGCAGGAAGACGGCCCUAUGGGUUGUAAACUGCUUUUAUACGGGGGUAACACUCUCUACGUGUAGGGAGAUGAAAGUACCGUAAGAAUAAGGAUCGGCUAACUCCGUGCCAGCAGCCGCGGUAAUACGGAGGAUCCAAGCGUUAUCCGGAUUUAUUGGGUUUAAAGGGUGCGCAGGCGGAUGUAUAAGUCAGUGGUGAAAUUUUAUCGCUUAACGAUAAGACUGCCAUUGAUACUGUAUGUCUAGAGUUUAGUUGACGUUGGCGGAAUAUGUCAUGUAGCGGUGAAAUGCGUAGAUAUGACAUAGAACACCGAUAGGGAAGCCAGCUGACGAAACUACAACUGACGCUCAUGCACGAAAGCGUGGGGAUCAAACA
rnacentral:rRNA from 1 species